rnacentral:rRNA from 1 species
AUGUCCAAACCAAGCUUAGUUUCUGAGUCAAAGGAUGUCUUCGAUCAGAAAGCCAGUAACAAGCACUGGAUUCAUGUGCAACCAAGAUGGGGAGAUUACGAUUCACACGACAUAGAAUGUUACGCAAGAGCAAAAUUUAUGGACUACAUGACAGAUAAUUUGUCCAUCUACCGUUCUCCGACUGGGGUGAUGAUUGGACUUGAUCUAGCUUAUAAUUUGCACUCUGCUUUUGGUAAUUGGUUCCCCGGGUUAAAGCCCCUCCUUCAGCAAGCAAUGAACAAGAUCGAUGUAAAAUCAUGUUCUGUAUGUGCUGAGGGAGAGAAUAGGAAAGGGUCUUGA